rnacentral:rRNA from 1 species
AAAGAAACUAACAAGGAUUUUCUUAGUAGCGGCGAGCGAAAAGAAAUCAGUUCAGCACUAAGUCACUUUGUCUAUAUGGCAAAUGUGAGAUGCAGUGUAUGGAACAUCAAUAUUCUAGUAUGAGAAAUUAACGAUUUAAGUCCUUCUUAAAUGAGGCCAUUUACCCAUAGAGGGUGCCAGGCCCGUAUAACGUUAAUGAUUACUAGAUGGUGUUUCCAAAGAGUCGUGUUGCUUGAUAGUGCAGCACUAAGUGGGUGGUAAACUCCAUCUAAAACUAAAUAUAACCAUGAGACCGAUAGUAAACAAGUACCGUGAGGGAAAGUUGAAAAGAACUCUGAAUAGAGAGUUAAAUAGUACGUGAAACUGCUUAGAGGUUAAGCCCGAUGAACCUGAAUAUCCGUUAUGGAAAAUUCAUCAUUAGAUUUUUAAUAUUUUAUCAAUAUUAUAAAAAUAGUGUGCAUUUUUUCCAUAUAAGGACAUUGUAAUCUAUUAGCAUAUUAAAUUUAUCAAAAAAUUGUGACUUAUUGUUUAUUUCAAUUAUUAUGCUUGCAUUUUAACAUAAAAUAAAUGUCAUAAAUUUGAUAAAGUGCUGAUAGAUUUAUAUGAAUACAGUGCGUUAAUUUUUCGGAAUUAUAUAAUGGCAUGAAUAUCAUUGAUUUUUGUGUUUAUUAUAUGCACUUGUACGAUUAACAAUGCGAAAGAUUCAGGAUACCUUCGGGACCCGUCUUGAAACACGGACCAAGGAGUCUAACAUAUGUGCAAGUUAUUGGGAUAUAAACCUAAUGGCAUAAUUAACUUGACUAAUAAUGGGAUUAGUUUUUUAACUAUUUAUAGUUAAUUAACACAAUCCCGGGGCG